CCCUUAGAUGUUCUGGGCCGCACGCGUGCUACACUGAGUGGAUCAGCGGGUCAGGUUGCGCGAAAGUGUUUCCUAAUCUUGAAAUCCGCUCGUGAUGGGGAUUGACGGUUGCAAUUUUCCGUCAUGAACGAGGAAUACCUUGUAAGCGCGGGUCAUCAUCCCGCGCUGAAUACGUCCCUGCCCUUUGUACACACCGCCCGUCGCUCCUACCGAUUGAGUGGUCCGGUGAGGCUUUGGGAUCUGUGCGGAAAGAGCGUUUCGCUGUUUCUGCUCGGAAAACUCAGUCGAACCUUAUCAUUUAGAGGAAGGAGAAGUCGUAACA
rnacentral:rRNA from 1 species